rnacentral:rRNA from 1 species
AUACGUAGGGAGCGAGCGUUGUCCGGAAUUACUGGGCGUAAAGGGCGCGUAGGCGGCGCUUAAAGUCGUCUGUCAAAUGGAAGGGCUUGACCCUUUUUCGCAGACGAAACUGGAGAGCUUGAGAAGAAGAGAGGCAAACAGAAUUCCUGGUGUAGCGGUGAAAUGCGUAGAUAUCAGGAAGAAUACCAGUGGCGAAGGCGGUUUGCUGGCCGCAUACUGACGCUGAAGCGCGAAAGCCAGGGGAGCGAACGGGAUUAGAUACCCCGGUAGUCCUGGCAGUAAACGAUGUAUGCUGGGUGUGAGACUAGCGAUAGUUUCGUGCCGAAGUUAACGCGAUAAGCAUACCGCCUGGGGAGUACGGUCGCAAGAUUGAAACUCAAAGGAAUUGACGGGG